rnacentral:rRNA from 1 species
GGUGGGGAUGACGUCAAGUCAUCAUGGCCCUUACGGCCUGGGCUACACACGUGCUACAAUGGCCGAUACAACGGGCAGCGAAGGAGCGAUCCGGAGCGAAUCCUAAAAAGACCGGUCCCAGUUCGGAUUGCAGGCUGAAACUCGCCUACAUGAAGUUGGAGUUGCUAGUAAUCGCGAAUCAGAAUGUCGCGGUGAAUGCGUUCCCGGGUCUU